rnacentral:rRNA from 1 species
AGUUCUGCCAGGAGACGCUCGUCCGCCCAAGUGGUGUGUUCAGGGCGCGCAUCUGGCCCCUUCAAGGGGAACUUGUUGCACUUUAUUGUGUGGCGCGAGAUCCUUGACUUUUACUUUGAGGAAAUAAGAGUGGUCCAAGCAAGCUCUCGUCGUGCAUAGCUCAGCAUGGAAUAAUAGCAUUGGACUUCGUUUCUACGCUGUUGGUUGCAAGAAGCGAGGUAAUGACGAAGAGGG